rnacentral:rRNA from 1 species
GUGCAGAAUGCCGGCGAGCGGCGAACGGCUGAGUAACGCGUAGGAAUUUGCCCCAAAGUGAGGGAUAACUGCCCGAAAGGGUAGCUAAUACCGCAUAUGGUCUUCGGAUUAAAGGAUUUAUCCGCUUUGGGAGAAGCCUGCGUUGGAUUAGGUUGUUGGUAGGGUAAUGGCCUACCAAGCCGACGAUCCAUAGCUGGUCUGAGAGGAUGAUCAGCCAGACUGGAACUGAGACACGGUCCAGACUCCUACGGGAGGCAGCAGUGAGGAAUCUUCCACAAUGGGCGAAAGCCUGAUGGAGCAACGCCGCGUGAAGGAUGAAGGCCUUCGGGUUGUAAACUUCUCUUAUGAGUGAAGAAUAUGACGGUAACUCAUGAAUAAGCACCGGCUAACUACGUGCCAGCAGCCGCGGUCAUACGUAGGGUGCAAGCAUUAUCCGGAGUGACUGGGCGUAAAGAGUUGCGUAGGCGGUUUUAUAAGUGAAUAGUGAAACCUGGUGGCUCAACCAUACAGACUAUUAUUCAAACUGUUAAACUCGAGAAUGGUAGGGGUAACUGGAAUUUCUUGUGUAGGAGUGAAAUCCGUAGAUAUAAGAAGGAACACCGAUGGCGUAGGCAGGUUACUGGGCCAUUUCUGACGCUAAGGCACGAAAGCGUGGGGAGCGAACCGGAUUAGAUACCCGGGUAGUCCACGCCGUAAACGAUGGAUACUAGCUGUUGGAGGUAUCGACCCCUUCAGUAGCGAAGCUAACGCGUUAAGUAUCCCGCCUGUGGAGUACGGCCGCAAGGCUAAAACAUAAAGGAAUUGACGGGGACCCGCACAAGCGGUGGAUUAUGUUCUUUAAUUCGAUGAUAACCGAAGAACCUUACCAGGGCUUGACAUCCAGGGAAGGUCUACGAAAGUAGACUGUGCCUUUUGGAACCCUGUGACAGGUGAUGCAUGGCCGUCGUCAGCUCGUGUCGUGAGAUGUUAGGUUAAGUCCUUCAACGAGCGCAACCCUUGCAAGUAGUUGUAUUUUUCUACUUGGACUGCCCCGGUAACGGGGAGGAAGGAGGGGAUGAUGUCAGGUCAGUAUUUCCCUUACGUCCUGGGCUAGAAACGUAAUACAAUGGCUAGUACAAUGCGCAGCGAAGCCGCGAGGUGAAGCAAAUCGCAUCAAAGCUAGUCCCAGUUCGGAUUGGAGGCUGAAACUCGCCUCCAUGAAGUCGGAAUCGCUAGUAAUCGCAAAUCAGCAAGUUGCGGUGAAUACGUUCCCGGGUCU